rnacentral:lncRNA from 1 species
UGUAUGUAUGUAUGUAUGUAUGUAUGUAUGCAUGCAUGUAUGUAUGUAUGACUUAGAUUACACUGUGGGCCGCGAGAGCCGGGGGCCGAAGCCGAAACACAGCGCAAGGGUCGGGAGCACACAGCACAAGUCGGUUAGUCUUGUGUGCCCCCGACCCCGACUCAGACUGCCAACACUCUACGCAGCCACUCCGCAGCCCCUCCAUCCGGGGAUGGCGCUGCAUUGAAUACACCACGAAGGGCUCUCAGGUCUCGCUACAGCGAGUCCACAAGUCUCAGCUAGGGCAAGUCAAAGGCUCUCUGAAACAACCCCCCAAAAUACCACCAACGAAAACGGGAUUCGAAGGGAAUACAAACAAACAAACAAAAAUUCGGUUAGGGCAGUCCCGGCAGGGGAGGGCUCCUGAUAUACCUAACAGGCCAACAAAAAAACCUCCAAGAGAGAAAGGCUAAGAGAGCUCGACACCACAAGACGUCUUGCAACCACCUUAAAACACCUGACCUCCACCACCUGUCCCUUCCUGGGCUGGUCCAGGGGAGAAGUAGCCUUAUAAAGAAAAGGGAUCCCGCACAAGCCUGAUCACCACUGCAGGGGCCCGGGAUAGUCCGGCGAAACCACAAAAGCGUUAGCGUUGCCACGACACACAGCUCCUAGACCCUCCAGAAAACCGCAGGGGGAGGAUUGUAGCCCGCGCGGCGCCUCCCCCUUACCGCCACUAACCUGAACGGUUGGUCCUCCGGAAACCUAUUCACCCUGUCUCGUACUGCACCGCUCUCACCCUCGUCCCUCACCAAGCAACCCAGUCCCACAGAGAAGACGUGUCUAAAUAGAAUGGCCCUCCUCGGGCCACAUCUCCCCCUCAUCCGAGCCCCGCUACCACCACCAGACCUCAACCUCCCAAACACCAGAAAACCUACGUCCUUUUGGCGCUCUCACCGCCAUUUCCCCCCUCCCCUGUCCGAGCGACCCCCCCUCCCCCCGGCUCUCCAGCACCCUACAACCUCGGAGCGGCACUAGGGAAGAAAAAGGGUUCUUCCCUGCACGACGUGACCGCCUCCAUUCCCCGUCCUUCUCCUCUUCCUCUCCCGUCUUGGGGUUCCCUCUCACCUAUUCCCUCGUCCUCCAACCCCCAUCCCCUUCGAACUCCUAUACCCCCCCGAGCCCUGCCCUACAAACUAAGCUCAAAGCGCUCUUAGGCAAUAAUCUCCACCGCUUCGGUGCACCGCAGUGCGCCUUCUGAAACCGACAGGAUCGGGUGGUCGGGUCCCACCCUGUCCCAGCCUCUCCACGGGGUGCCCAGCGCCGUGAAGGAGCGCAGGCGCGCCCAGAAGUCCACCACUGCCCGGGCGCGGGCCCGCUCCAAGGGGGUUGCUGCGGGUGCUGCUGCCGCCGCGCCUGCCGUUGCUGCUACCGCCCCUGUCGCCGGGGGGAUCCUCAGNNNNNNNNNNNNNNNNNNNNNNNNNNNNNNNNNNNNNNNNNNNNNNNNNNCAGUCCCGGCAGGGGAGGGCUCCUGAUAUACCUAACAGGCCAACAAAAAAACCUCCAAGAGAGAAAGGCUAAGAGAGCUCGACACCACAAGACGUCUUGCAACCACCUUAAAACACCUGACCUCCACCACCUGUCCCUUCCUGGGCUGGUCCAGGGGAGAAGUAGCCUUAUAAAGAAAAGGGAUCCCGCACAAGCCUGAUCACCACUGCAGGGGCCCGGGAUAGUCCGGCGAAACCACAAAAGCGUUAGCGUUGCCACGACACACAGCUCCUAGACCCUCCAGAAAACCGCAGGGGGAGGAUUGUAGCCCGCGCGGCGCCUCCCCCUUACCGCCACUAACCUGAACGGUUG